GUGGGGAAUAUUGGACAAUGGGCGAAAGCCUGAUCCAGCCAUGCCGCGUGUGUGAAGAAGGUCUUCGGAUUGUAAAGCACUUUAAGUUGGGAGGAAGGGCAGUAAGUUAAUACCUUGCUGUUUUGACGUUACCGACAGAAUAAGCACCGGCUAACUUCGUGCCAGCAGCCGCGGUAAUACGAAGGGUGCAAGCGUUAAUCGGAAUUACUGGGCGUAAAGCGCGCGUAGGUGGUUUUGUAAGUUGGAGGUGAAAUCCCCGGGCUCAACCUGGGAACUGCCUCCAAAACUGCAUGACUAGAGUACGGUAGAGGGUAGUGGAAUUUCCUGUGUAGCGGUGAAAUGCGUAGAAAUAGGAAGGAACACCAGUGGCGAAGGCGACUACCUGGACUGAUACUGACACUGAGGUGCGAAAGCGUGGGGAGCAAACAGGAUUAGAAACCCUAGUAGUCC
rnacentral:rRNA from 1 species